rnacentral:tRNA from 7 species
GGGCGCGUAGCUCAGCGGGAGAGCACCGUCUUCACACGGCGGGGGUCGCUGGUUCAAUCCCAGCCGCGCCCACCA